rnacentral:rRNA from 1 species
UGCCAGCAGCCGCGGUAAUACGGAGGGUGCGAGCGUUGCUCGGAAUCACUGGGCGUAAAGCGUACGCAGGCGGCCUGUCAAGUCGGGUGUGAAAGCCCGGGGCUCAACUCCGGAACUGCAUUCGAAACUGGCAGGCUUGAGUACGGGAGAGGGAAGCGGAAUUCCUGGUGUAGAGGUGAAAUUCGUAGAUAUCAGGAGGAACACCCGUGGCGAAAGCGGCUUCCUGGCCCGAUACUGACGCUCAUGUACGAAAGCGUGGGGAGCAAACAGGAUUAGAUA